rnacentral:rRNA from 1 species
UCCAGACUCCUACGGGAGGCAGCAGUGGGGAAUAUUGGGCAAUGGACGCAAGUCUGACCCAGCAACGCCGCGUGAAGGAAGAAGGUUUUCGGAUUGUAAACUAUUUUAGACAGGGAAGAAAAAAGACAGUACCUGUAGAAUAAGCUCCGGCUAACUACGUGCCAGCAGCCGCGGUAAUACGUAGGGAGCAAGCGUUAUCCGGAAUUAUUGGGUGUAAAGGGUGCGUAGACGGGACAGCAAGUUAGUUGUGAAAGCCCUCGGCUUAACUGAGGAACUGCAACUAAAACUAUUGUUCUUGAGUGCAGGAGAGGAAAGCGGAAUUCCUAGUGUAGCGGUGAAAUGCGUAGAUAUUAGGAGGAACACCAGUGGCGAAGGCGGCUUUCUGGACUGUAACUGACGUUGAGGCGCGAAAGUGUGGGGAGCAAACAGGAUUAGAUACCCCUGUAU